rnacentral:rRNA from 1 species
GACGAACGCUGGCGGCGUGCUUAACACAUGCAAGUCGAACGGAAAGGCCCCUUCGGGGUUACUCGAGUGGCGAACGGGUGAGUAACACGUGAGUAACCUGCCCUUGCCUUCGGGAUAACUUCAGGAAACUGGGGCUAAUACCGGAUAGGAAUCCUUGCUGCAUGGUGGGGGUUGGAAAGCUUCUGCGGUUUUGGAUGGACUCGCGGCUUAUCAGCUUGUUGGUGGGGUAGUGGCUUACCAAGGCUUUGACGGGUAGCCGGCCUGAGAGGGCGACCGGCCACAGUGGGACUGAGAUACGGCACAGACUCCUAAGGGAGGCAGAAGUGGGGAAGAUUGCACAAUGGGCGGAGGCCUGAUGCAGCAAGGCCGCGUGCGGGAUGACGGCCUUCGGGUUGUAAACCGCUUGCAGCAGGGGCGAAGCUUGUGGUGACGGUACCUGCAGAAGAAGCACCGGCUAACUACGUG